ensembl:lncRNA
AAGGAGAGAACCCNNNNNNNNNNNNNNNNNNNNCAUGUUCCAUAGAAUCUCUAUGGAUAGAAAUUUCAUGCUCUAAUAAGAAUAUAACAGUAGGGAUCUAUUAUCGACCACCUGACCAGGACGGUGAUAGUGAUGAUGAAAUGCUAAGGGAAAUUAGAGAGGCUAUCAAAAUUAAGAACUCAAUAAUAGUGGGGGAUUUCAAUUAUCCCCAUAUUGACUGGGAACAUGUCACCUCAGGACAAAAUGCAGAGAUAAAAUUUCUCGAUACUUUAAAUGACUGCUUCAUGGAGCAGCUGGUACGGGAACCCACAAGGGGAGAGGCAACUCUAGAUUUAGUCCUGAGUGGAGCGCAGGAGCUGGUCCAAGAGGUAACUAUAAUAGGACCGCUUGUAAAUAGUGACCAUAAUACAAUAGCAUUCAACAUCCCUGAGGUGGGAAGAACAUCUCAACAGCCCAACACCAUGGCAUUUAAUUUCAAAAGGGGUAACUAUGCAAAAAUGAGGGGGUUAGUUAAACAGAAGUUAAAAAGUACAGUGACUAAAGUGAAAUCCCUGCAAGAUGCAUGGGCGCUUUUUAAAGACACCAUAAUAGAGGCCCAACUUCAACGUAUACCCCAAAUUAAGAAACACAGUAAAAGAACUAAAAAAGAGCCACCGUGGCUUAACAACCAUGUAAAAGAAGCAGUGAGAGAUAAAAAGACUUCCUUUAAAAAGUGGAAGUCAAAUCCUAGUGAGGCAAAUAGAAAGGAGCAUAAAUGCUGCCAAAUUGAGUGCAAGAAUGUAAUAAGAAAAGCCAAAGAGGAGUUUGAAGAACGGCUAGCCAAAAACUCCAAUGGUAUUAACAAAAUGUUUUUUAAGUACAUCAGAAGCAGGAAGCCUGCUAAACAACCAGUGGGACCCCUUGAUGACCGAGAUACAAAAGGAGCGCUUAAAGACGAUAAAGUCAUUGUGGAGAAACUAAAUGGAUUCUUUGCUUCAGUCUUCACGGCUGAGGAUGUUAGGGAAAUUCCCAAACCUGAGCUGGCUUUCGUAGGUGACAAAUCUGAGGAACUGUCACAGAUUGAAGUGUCACGAGAGGAGGUUUUGGAAUUAAUUGAUAAACUUAACAUUAACAAGUCACCGGGACCAGAUGGCAUUCACCCAAGAGUUCUGAAAGAACUCAAAUGUGAAGUUGCGGAACUGUUAACUAAGGUUUGUAACCUGUCCUUUAGAUCAGCUUCUGUACUCAAUGACUGGAAGUUAGCUAAUGUAACGCCAAUAUUUAAAAAGGGCUCUAGAUGUGAUCCCGGCAAUUACAGACCUGUAAGUCUAACGUCUGUACCAGGCAAAUUAGUCGAAACAAUAGUUAAGAAUAAAAUUGUCCGACACAUAGAAAAACAUAAACUGUUGAGCAAUAGUCAACAUGGUUUCUGUAAAGGGAAAUCGUGUCUUACUAAUCUAUUAGAAUUCUUUGAAGGGGUCAACAAACAUGUGGACAAGGGGGAUCCAA